rnacentral:lncRNA from 1 species
GUUGCUUGUGAUUAUUGGUAUUGAUUGGUAGUGAUGCUACUAGGUUUGGGAUUAUUGGUGGUUGCAGGUUUGAACCAUGCAUGAUACUUGCUUCGUUGAAUUUGUUGUUCUCAUCACUCAGUGCAUCGCAGAAAGCUCUGUGUGUGAUGAAGCUGUCUCUUCUGCAGAUCAUAAUUAAAUUUAUGCACUCAGUUAUAAUACAAUUAAAUUAACAGAAUUAACAUGAACCCACACUGGAUAUAUAAUCUGAGUGAAAAGAAUAAAGAUAAUAAGAUGAAAAAUAAAAAUUAAAAGUUUUUCAGUGAAUUUAAAAUACCACUCAUUAAAAUGACAUGCUUAGAGAAUGAGAUUUUUUUGGGAAUUUUCAACCUACACUACAAAAACAUCAUUAAAUAAAAAUAAACUUUAAAAAUAAAAAAUAAUUAAUUUUUAUAUUAAUUAAAUUAAAUCUAUUUUAAAAAUUAAAAAAAUUAUUAAUAUUUUAAUUAAAUUUUAUUAUCUAUAAAUAGUUUCUAAAUAGAUAUCUUAAUUAUCAAGAUUUAAACAAUCAGAAUUUAAAUAAUUGAUAAACAUCAAACUAAAAAUUAUUUAUCAAUCAUAAAAAAUAAUUUAAAUACUAAUAAUUUUAUUAAUAUAUAAAAUAAUAACUAAUUUAUUUAAUAUAAGAAAUAAUUAUUUUUAUCAUUAAAAUUAGUUUUUAUAUUAAAAAAAAAGUGAAAAUAACAUUGAAAGCUGAUGUAAACAGCAUAAAAAUGAGAUUGAUUUGUGAAGAAAGAAAAAAAGUAAGGAAUUUUCAAUUAUUUAAUCUAGAACAUUUUAAAAGUAAACAAAAAAAAAAUAAUUAGAAGAUUAAUUUGAACCUGGAAAAGAUGGUGCCGCAGUCACAUUUGUAUUCCUUGGUUCCACAUAUUUUGGAAUGCGCUUUCCAGUCAGAAUGAACAGCGUAUUUCUUUGAACACUUUUCACAUUUCCACUUCUUCUCGCCGUGCUUUCUGCUAAAGUGCUUUUUAAUGCCGGUGAGAUCGCCC